ensembl:ncRNA F54F12.6 ncRNA
AUUCAAUGGGGGAAGUGCGGGAGAAAGGAGAAAGAGAUGAAGAAAAAUCGAAAAAUGAAAUGGAAUUUAGAAAUGGGCACUGUUUGAAAUGAAUUAUGAUGAAGAAGAA